rnacentral:rRNA from 1 species
GACGAACGCUGGCGGCGUGCUUAACACAUGCAAGUCGAGCGGGAUCCGGGCUUUCGGGUUUGGUGAGAGUGGCGAACGGGUGAGUAACACGUGAGUAACCUGCCCCCUUCUUUGGGAUAACGUCGGGAAAUCGGCGCUAAUACUGGAUAUUCUUGCUGCAUCGCAUGGUGUGGUUUGGAAAGGGUUUCUGGUGGGGGAUGGGCUCGCGGCCUAUCAGCUUGUUGGUGGGGUGAUGGCCUACCAAGGCUUUGACGGGUAGCCGGCCUGAGAGGGUGUCCGGCCACACUGGGACUGAGACACGGCCCAGACUCCUACGGGAGGCAGCAGUGGGGAAUAUUGCACAAUGGGCGCAAGCCUGAUGCAGCGACGCCGCGUGAGGGAUGACGGCCUUCGGGUUGUAAACCUCUUUCAGUAUGGAACAAGGAUCCUUCUUUUGGGGGGUUUGAGGGUACGUGCAGAAGAAGCGCCGGCUAACUACGUG